rnacentral:lncRNA from 1 species
CAGGCAAAAAAUAUAUUUUCAACUACUUUCGACUCGACACUACAAAAAACCCUUUGACAGUCAUUGCUAACCAACUAAUUUGAAGAGUACUAUUUCAUGGCAAAAAUGGGUAAUCACGUAUGACAACCAAAAAUAGCUACAUAAUACAAUCUAAUCAUAACAUGUCGACUUAAGAUUUUUUGUUUGAAUACUUUGAUAAGUUUUCUGAAGUGUGUUUCUCAAGUGUCGUAUUUAAUAAAUCAUGUCUCCAAGUGCUUUUAUACAAAGGUACGCGUUCCUUAAGGAAGUAUUGUGUUGUACUUUACUACAGUCCGACUUCUACGUACGUCUGCUGUAUUUUGGUUCGCAACAAGUUUUGUUUUGGAUUUAAAAACUUCGUGAGUAGAUAUCAUAUUAUACAAAUGCAAUAUUUGGUUUCGCUCUAACACCAUUGCCUUUUCUAAUACUAAUCAUUUAUAUUUUCAGUUUAAAAUGGCUCCAUAUACGGGGUUCGGCAACUCCUCAACAAAUCGAAACCGUUCUCAAUUUCCUGGAGGAACAUAAAGAUUUAGCGGUAGAUUGAAUAGUUGAACCCAGCCAGGAAGAUAACCUGAGAGUCCAGCUGUAAAAGCUGCCUAUGUACCACCACCAUUGACACAAGAAUGCCUGACUUUCACACCUUCCUCUCAACAUACACACUCUACAAGGACACGAUCUGCCAGCACAGGUGUAAGAAGCAGAUUGUAUCAAUAUGAAGAGGAGCGUGCACAGAGAGACGGUGACAAACGCAGAGCUUGCAGGCAUCAGUCCUACCCUGUUGCAUCUGCAUAACACAAUAAAGGAAUAUGUGGAUAGGAAUUAAGAUUUUGUUAGUGUUUUGUUAGUUAUUAAUUGUGUUUAAUAUUACUUUGUUAUUAAUUUAUAAUGUUUAAACAGGGUAAUAGUAAAUAAAACUUUAAGUAUAUAA